CAGGACAGUUUGUAGUUUAGUUUUUGUAUAAUUGAGUUUUUUCUUUUCAUAAAACUUUCUACUUUUACUCCACUUCACAAAGUCUCUUUGUUGUUACAUAACCAGACUACUUUAUGAAUGAGUGAACAUGACAACAUUAAAAACAGACCCAGAGUUAAACUGUCACGUCUUUUAUUCAACAGGUAGUAAUAGAUUACUCUGAUUCAUCAGGUAGUAACAGAUUACAGAAUCUUUUCAAAGUGAACAGGACCGUAUUUAUCACAUCCGAUUACAAUCUUCCUGUUCUUUUUUAAUUCACCUUUCUUGUACGGACAGUUGGGAGGCUUGUCUUUCUUUGCAGCCAUUUCCUUCGUCUGUU